UACGUAGGUGGCAAGCGUUGUCCGGAUUUACUGGGCGUAAAGCGCGCGCAGGCGGAUGGUUAAGUAGGAAGUGAAAGGUUGGAGCUCAACUCCAACAUUGCUCCCUAUACUGGCCGUCUUGAGUCCCGGAGAGGAAAGCGGAACGACACGUGGAGCGGUGAAAUGCGUAGAUAUCCGGAGGAACACCGGUGGCGAAGGCGGCUUCCUGGACCGACACUGACGCUGAGGCGCGAAAGCUAGGGGAGCAAACGGG
rnacentral:rRNA from 1 species